rnacentral:rRNA from 1 species
UACGAAGGGGGCUAGCGUUGCUCGGAAUCACUGGGCGUAAAGCGCACGUAGGCGGAUCUUUAAGUCAGGGGUGAAAUCCCAAGGCUCAACCUUGGAACUGCCUUUGAUACUGGGGAUCUCGAGUCCGGAAGAGGUUGGUGGAACUGCGAGUGUAGAGGUGAAAUUCGUAGAUAUUCGCAAGAACACCAGUGGCGAAGGCGGCCAACUGGUCCGGUACUGACGCUGAGGUGCGAAAGCGUGGGGA